UUUUUUUUAGGGAUCGAGCACGGGUCAAGAAGUUUUCGAUGUGGUCGUAAGGCAUUUGAGCCUUUUGGAAACAGCAUAUUUCGGCCUCCGUUAUUUGGACUCGCAAAAUCAAACCCACUGGUUGGAUUUAUCCAAGAAAAUGAACAAACAAAUGAAGGGUAACGAGAACUUCACGUUUUAUUUCGGCGUGAAGUUUUACGCCGCCGAUCCUUGUAAGCUGGUCGAAGAAAUCACCAGGUA